AGAGUUUGAUCAUGGCUCAGGACGAACGCUGGCGGCGUGCCUAACACAUGCAAGUCGAACGGCCUGACAUCUUCGGAAGUCAGGCAGUGGCGGACGGGUGAGUAACACGUGGGUAACCUGCCAUAUACAGGGGGAUAGCCAUCCGAAAGGGUGAUUAAUACCGCAUAAAGAUAACAGGACGCAUGUUCUGAUAUCCAAAGGUGUAACAACCGGUAUAUGAUGGACCCGCGGCCCAUUAGAUAGUUGGUGAGGUAAAGGCUUACCAAGUCGACGAUGGGUAGCCGAUCUGAGAGGAUGAACGGCCACAUUGGAACUGAGAAACGGUCCAGACUCCUACGGGAGGCAGCAGUGGGGAAUAUUGCGCAAUGGGGGAAACCCUGACGCAGCAACGCCGCGUGAGUGAAGAAGGCCUUCGGGUCGUAAAGCUCUGUCAUUGGGGACGAAAUAAGACGGUACCCAAGGAGGAAGCCACGGCUAACUACGUGCCAGCAGCCGCGGUAAUACGUAGGUGGCGAGCGUUGUCCGGAAUUACUGGGCGUAAAGGGUGUGUAGGCGGACUAUUAAGUUAGAUGUGAAAACCCCAGGCUUAACUUGGGGACUGCAUUUAAAACUGGUAGUCUAGAGUGCAGGAGAGGAAAGCGGAAUUCCUAGUGUAGCGGUGAAAUGCGUAGAUAUUAGGAAGAACACCAGUGGCGAAGGCGACUCUCUGGACCGUAACUGACGCUGAGGCAUGAAAGCGUGGGGAGCAAACAGGAUUAGAUACCCUGGUAGUCCACGCCGUAAACUAUGAAUACUAGGUGUGGGAGUUGUCAUGACUUCCGUGCCGCAGUUAACACAAUAAGUAUUCCGCCUGGGGAGUACGGUCGCAAGAUUAAAACUCAAAGGAAUUGACGG
rnacentral:rRNA from 1 species